rnacentral:lncRNA from 1 species
CAAGUAGAGGGGCACAGUUUGUUCCCAUUGGAAUGCCGACAGUCUGUUGAAAAACACGUCCUCGGAACGUAACAAAUAUGUUGUCAAUCAAGAAAUCAAGCAUCUUGAUAAUAUCAGUAUCAGAAUUUUUUGUUCGAAUCAGAGUGAUCCUUUACAAAGUAGGAUUUAUCCCUCCCUAAGACAAGAUACUUGUAUCUACGUUGGCC